ACACCAAAAAGUGAUCUAAAUGUCAGUUUUAGAUUGUGGGUGUAUUUUAAGAUGUGAAGUUUUUUGAUAAGGUGAUGAAAAUAUCAUUUCUCUUCUUUCCCUCUUUUGAAGGAAUCGACAUGUUGCUAAAAGAAGCAACAUCAAUUAACUGCUAAUGGUAAUGGCACUGUUGGAGUUUUUUUUUUCGUUUCAGGGUUGAAAAGGUGUGUUAUGUGUCGUGAUGGCUAGCCUGCUUCUCAUUCACCUGAUUUGCGAUGUUCAUCUUGAGAUUCUAAGUGAUUGCUCUGACAGAGGAACUGCUUGCAACUGCGAAGCAAAAUGAGAUUUCUGGAUCAGAUAUUAGGCUAGUAUUAGUGCACCCACUGCUCAAUUGAAGGGAAGAGUGAAACAUCAG